CCUACGGGGGGCAGCAGUGAGGAAUAUUGGUCAAUGGGCGUAAGCCUGAACCAGCCAAGUCGCGUGAGGGAUGAAGGUUCUAUGGAUCGUAAACCUCUUUUAUAAGGGAAUAAAGUGCGGGACGUGUCCCGUUUUGUAUGUACCUUAUGAAUAAGGAUCGGCUAAGUCCGUGCCAGCAGCCGCGGUAAUACGGAGGAUCCGAGCGUUAUCCGGAUUGCUGGGGUUUAAAGGGUGCGUAGGCGGGCUUUUACGUCGGCGGAGGAAGGCUGUGGCGCAACGGUGGAAUUGAGGGUGCAACGGGGGGGCUGGGGUGUGUUUGGGGGAGGGGGGAGGCGGGGUGUAGCGGUGGAAGG
rnacentral:rRNA from 1 species